rnacentral:rRNA from 1 species
UACGGGGGGGCAAGCGUUGUUCGGAAUUACUGGGCGUAAAGGGCUCGGUAGGUGGCCAACUAAGUCAGACGUGAAAUCCCUCGGCUUAACCGGGGAACUGCGUCUGAUACUGGAUGGCUUGAGUUUGGGAGAGGAUGCGGAAUUCCAGGUGGUAGCGGUGAAAUGCGUAGAUAUCUGGAGGAACACCGGUGGCGAAAGGCGGCGAUCCUGGACCAAGACUGACGCUGAGGCGCGAAAGCGUGGGGAGCAAACAGGAUUGAGAAACCCCGGUAGGUCCAAGAU